rnacentral:lncRNA from 1 species
GCCACCUUGCUAUCUCUUCUCUGUAGGGUGCUCCUUAAUGGCAGAAAAAUUUACCAAUAUCUAGAUAACUCUAUUGACAUCUACUUAAUAAAUACAACAAAUUCCUAUUAUGCACUUUAAUGAUAUUCUAUGAAUUCGAAUUCUACUAAAGGAUCUGCUAAUCAUUUAUUGAGUAUGAAGUGUUAAAAAAACUCUAUUCUCCAUAUUAUUCCGCCUUUAUCUCAUUCUUGGAGAGCCAAUUAAAUCCUGAAUCCACUUUUUUGGUACCCAAUCUAAUCAUAAUAUCAUAAAUAGUAAGUAGAAAUUGUUUAAAUUUUGAUAUUCUAUAGAAGACUCCAUAAGUCAAGUCUACAAAGCGGCAUAAUAUUUUCUAAGAAUUUAUCAAUUUAUUUCCAUUUGUAUCUUUCGCAAAUUCGAUUCAAAUUUGCACCAAAAAUUCUCUUUGUUUUAUUCACCCUCUUACUCUCAUCUCCCUUGAUAUGUAUGAAAUACAUAUAUGGAGUUGUCUAAAAUUUUAUGUAAUUCAAUAAGCAG